CGUGGGGGGCGGAAGACGGAGAGGCCGGUCUCGUUUUACGAGACUGUCGGUGGCCAAGGUGACCUACAGGGCUCGUCUCAGCAAGCCGGCGCUUCGCACCUGUUGUUCUCAGUUCUGGAAGCUGGAAGGCUGAAAUCAAGAUGUUGGCAGGGCCACACUCCCUCUGAAGAUUCUAGGGGAACAUCUCCUUGCCUCUUGCAGUUUAUGGUGGCUGUCAUGGACACCUGUCAUUGGUUCUGGGACCCACCCACAUAAUCCAGGAUGAUCUCAUCUCAAGUGACUUUUGAUCUGUUUAGAACAAUAAACCGUCAGUGAUUUACAGAAUGUCAUCCUGCGCGCACAGAGGAAGAUACCCCCUCCAGAAUGGCAAAGGAACCUCCAUACUACUUUCCAUAACGGCUGAACCAAUUUACAUUCCCACCAACAUUGUACAAGUGUUCCUGUUUCUCCACAUCCUUCCCAACAUUUAUCUUUUGUCUUUUGAUAAUAUCCAUUCUAACAGGUUUGAGGUGAUAGCUCAUUGUGCAUUUCCUUGAUGACUAAUGAUGUUGGGCAUCUUUUCAUAUAUCUGUUGGCCAUUGGUAUGUCUUCUUUUGAGAAAUGUCUGUUCAAGUCCUUUGCGCAUUGUUAAUUGGGUUAUGUGUUUUCUUCCUAUUGGUUAUUUGAGUUCCUUGUAUAUUUUAGAUAUUAGCCUUUUAUCAGAUAUAUGGUUGGCAAAUAUUUUUCCUAUUCCACUAGGUUGUCUCUUCACUCUAUUCAUUGUUUCCUUUGCUAUGCAGAAGGUGUUUUUGUUUGAUGAAAUCCCAUUUGUCUAUUUUUGCUUCUGUUUUCUAUGCUUUUGGGGUCAUCUCCAAAAAAAUCAUUGCCCAGACCAAUGUCAAGAAGCUUUUCUCCUAUGUUUUCUUCUAGAAGUUUUACAGUGUCAGGUCUUAUAUUUAAGUCUUUCAUUCAUUUUGAGUUGACUUUUGUAUAUGGAGUGAGAUGAGGAUCUAAUUUCAUUCUUCUACAUAUCGAUAUCCAGUUUUCCCAGGACCAUUUACUGAAGAGACUGUUCUUUCCACAUUGUGUGUUCUUGGCACCCUCAUAGAAGAUCACCUGGCCAUAUAUAUGAGGGUUUAUUUCUGGGUUCUCUUUUUCUGUUCCUUUUGUCUAUAUGUCUGUUUUUAUGCCAGAAACCAUACUGUUUUGAUUACUAUAGGUUUGUAAUAUAGUUUGAAAUCAGGACGUGUGAUGCCUCCAGCUUUGUUCUUCUUUCUCAAAAUUACUUCAGCUAUUCAGGGGUUUUGUGAUUCCCUGUCAAUUUUAGAAUUUUUUUUUUCUAUUUCUGUGAAAAAUGCCACUGGAGUUUUGAUAGAGAUUGCAUUGAAUCUGUAGAUCACUUUGGGUAGUAUGGACAGUUUAACAAUAUCAAUUCUUCCAGUUCAUAAACACAGAAUAUCUUUCCAUUGAUGUGUGUCUUCAAUUACUUUCAUCAGUGUUUUCAAACCUGCAGUUUAGAAGUUUACUCUUGAAUGAAGAUAAUGAAAGGAAGGCAAGACCAGCAGAAGUGAGCCCAGUCAGGAGACACUAGCAACAGGGCUGCUGUUGCCACUUUUGAGUAAAUUUUAAAAAGGCAACUUUUCUUCAUAGAAGCAGCCCAGACAAGCUUGGUAAAGAGAGUGUACUAGAUUUAAGCCCUGCUUCAGCUCAGGCAUCCUUGUGCAAUGAACCCAGUGCAUGAUCAUAUGAGGAAGUGUAUUGGCAGUUGUCCACGUGAGUGAUGAGGAAGGCCUGAACUACACAGCUUGAGGAUGUUGAUUAACAGCAACAAGCACCACUAUAGGCAACAUUGCUUUGUAACAUACCAUGUGCAUCUUACACAUACAAGGGCAGUGGCAGUUGUGAGAAAGUAAGAAUCUGCACUGCAAAGACCAAUAAGGACGGCUGGCCUCUUUACAUCAUGUGCUAAUUGGCAGCCCUGCCCUGUAGAGCCCCUGUUUCAUUUCACAUCAGGAAAGUGAUUAAACUAAUUGCCUUACACCAGUGUUGUAUUUCAUGUGUAUAAUACCCAUAAUUUGAGGUUUGAACACAAUUGCAGUAAAUUAUACUAAUCACAGGAAAAGUUCAUUAAACUUACAUAGGCUUAUUGAAAAGUGUGUUGUUUUAAGCAAUCAGUAUCCGCAAGUUGAAAUGUGCUUUCUUGUUUUAUAAUAAAAGAG